AGAAUUUACAAGAAGAC
rnacentral:sRNA from 1 species